CACAUGUGUGAACAUAAGAACAAUGCUCCGCCUACAAAUACUAGAGGAAAAGGAAUUCUGACAACUAAACAUGGCAUUGGAAUCGGAGGCAUUAGGAGAAUAGUGGAUGCAAUUUCCAUUCCUGACUCGUUGACAAUGAACUGCAGAGCCACGCCCAAUUCACAAACCCUGUCAAGGACUUGCCAUACCUCACAUGCUUCAUCUCCAGCUCAGGGCUCCGAGAACCAUGCAUUCAGCCUGUCAGCGCUACCACGUAGCUGAUUUCUGUAAAUGUUGAGUAUAGCAAAUGUUUCGGUGCACCAGGU
rnacentral:lncRNA from 1 species